rnacentral:rRNA from 1 species
UACGUAGGGGGGCAAGCGUUGUCCGGAUUUAUUGGGCGUAAAGAGCGUGUAGGCGGCCAUGUAGGUCCGUUGUGAAAACUCGAGGCUCAACCUCGAGACGCCGAUGGAAACCAUGUGGCUAGAGUCCGGAAGAGGAGAGUGGAAUUCCUGGUGUAGCGGUGAAAUGCGCAGAUAUCAGGAAGAACACCCGUGGCUAAGGCGGCUCUCUAGUACGGUACUGACGCUGAGACGCGAAAAGCGUGGGGGAGCGAACAGG